GGUUAAUUAGCUAUUGUUUGCAAAUAAGCAGAGGCCUACCCAGGUGUUAAACAUUCCUAGUGGGUGGUGAUUUUAGGAGUUAUAUAAGGCUUGGUCUCAUUAGCUUGUCUAAUAUAGCUUGGUGCUACUUCUAAGUGCUGUUUCUAAGUGUCUAGUUGGAGAUAUUCUGGAGAGUUUUACAGAAGCUUCAACUGUCUAAGAGUU